rnacentral:rRNA from 1 species
UGAGGAAUAUUGGUCAAUGGGCGCAAGCCUGAACCAGCCAUGCCGCGUGCAGGAUGAAGCAUCUAUGGUGUGUAAACUGCUUUUGUACGGGAAGAAACACCUCUACGUGUAGAGGCUUGACGGUACCGUAAGAAUAAGGAUCGGCUAACUCCGUGCCAGCAGCCGCGGUAAUACGGAGGAUCCAAGCGUUAUCCGGGAUCAUUGGGUUUAAAGGGUCCGUAGGCGGUUUUAUAAGUCAGUGGUGAAAUCCGGCAGCUCAACUGUCGAACUGCCAUUGAUACUGUAGAACUUGAAUUAUUGUGAAGUAACUAGAAUAUGUAGUGUAGCGGUGAAAUGCUUAGAUAUUACAUGGAAUACCCAUUGCGAAGGCAGGUUACUAACAAUUGAUUGACGCUGAUGGACGAAAGCGUGGGGAGCGAACAGG